rnacentral:rRNA from 1 species
ACGCUCGACACCUACAGGAGGCAGCAGUAGGGAAUAUUGCGCAAUGGGGGAAACCCUGACGCAGCAACGCCGCGUGGAGGAUGACACUUUUCGGAGCGUAAACUCCUUUUCUUAGGGAAGAAUUCUGACGGUACCUAAGGAAUAAGCACCGGCUAACUCCGUGUCAGCAGCCGCGGUAAUCUGAGCGGGCUGGCAAGGC